rnacentral:lncRNA from 1 species
ACCAAUGUGAUGAGUGUGGGGAAAGCCAUAGAAAGGACCGGUGAAUGCUGGCGUGAUGUGUGUUAUUUUAACGUUUCUGAAAUCCUGUUCUUAGUCUGCACACCUUGUCCGAGGCUCCGAUGUUAUCCAGGUCACCAGGUAUGCCCCUGGGCUCCUGCCGCAGCUGAUCAUGUGCUAGGUGUUGAGGAUACACGUCAGGGAGAAAGCAAUUGGAAGAAAUGCAAAGCUCUUCAAAGGAGACCUAUAAAGUCAUCUUUGUUUUGUUCACUCUUCUCAUGUUUCUGCAUUCUGGGCAUUCUCCUAAAUUGAGGAGAAACCAAAAUGCCCAGAAGUCAAAUUCUGCAACUGUCAUCAUGCAAAAUGUCAAAUGAGAGAACCAAAGUAUGCUGGAUUCUAUAUUGUUAGGAAGGGAUGGUUAAUUUGAUUGACUCUCGGGAGCUAUUUUUCUAGCAUUAAGUAAUUCUAGGGAACCCUUUUGUGAUCAUCUCUGAGUAAAUAAAGAAGUGAAAUUGCAAUUCAAAUAA